rnacentral:rRNA from 1 species
UACGUAGGGGGCAAGCGUUGUCCGGAAUUAUUGGGCGUAAAGCGUGUAGGCGGCUCGGUAAGUCUGCUGUGAAAGUCCAGGGCUCAACCCUGGAAUGCCGGUGGAUACUGUCGAGCUCGAGUCCGGAAGAGGCGAGUGGAAUUCCUGGUGUAGCGGUGAAAUGCGCAGAUAUCAGGAGGAACACCAAUGGCGAAGGCAGCUCGCUGGGACGGUACUGACGCUGAGACGCGAAAGCGUGGGGAGCAAACAGG